AGGUGGGGCAGAUGAUUAGGGUGAAGUCGUAACAAGGUAGCCGUAGGAGAACCUGCGGCUGGAUCACCUCCUUU
rfam:Lactobacillus silagei DNA, scaffold: sequence41, strain: IWT126.